UUUAAGCUAACCUAGACCAGUUGCCUUUGAACCAAUGGGAUUGGGUCAAUUUAAAUUGGAUCCUUAUCCAACUUGAACUAGUUUUAAGUGGAGAAGGACUCCUCUGCACCUACUAGAAGCCACACCAAAAUAAUAAUGCCGCCCACCUCAAAUUACCAUGUGAAGUUGGAGAGUCUUUGUUAAUGAAGGAACUUAUCUUCAUGCAUUGCCUUAAAUUCUCAACCAGAUAUCCUUUGAUUUGUCACCAAAAUUGAUUGGGAUUUUUAUGCCAC
rnacentral:lncRNA from 1 species